CCAUUGUGUUGAAGUAGCAUUCUGUCCUAUAUCAAUUACUCCUCCCUCGAACAUGACCCUUAUCCUCAAGGAACAAAGUCUGGAAAUUUCUUGCAAAAUUCAUUAAAAUUCUCCCAUGUUGAGUCCCCAGGAAAAGCAUUUGCCUAUUCCACUAAAACCUCGGCGAUGGCCUGAUUACCCCUUUUGACCAUCCGUUUGUCCACGAUCUUGGUUAGAACUUUCAGUAGAGCACCUUCAGAUCUGACUAAGAGUAGUAAUGGAGAAUGAGGUGCUCAACCAAUAUGUUUUUUCAGUUGUGAUAUGUGGAAGUUAGGGUGAAUUCUCGACCCAACAUGUAAGGAUAGUCUAUAAGCAACUCGUCCCACUUUAGCUUUAAUAGGAUACGGGCCAAAGUAUUUGGGGGAUAGUUUUUGAUUCACUAUUCAUCGAAUGGAGUGUUGUCGAUAAGGUUGCAAUCGAAGAUAAACCAAAUCACCCACCUAAAAUUCUCUAUUUGAUCUUUUUUUAUCAGCCAACAGUUUCAUUCUUCCUUGAGAUCUUUUAAAAUGAAAUCUGAGUAGCUGUCGAGCUGUUUCUCUUGCUUGCAAGCUACGAUCCACAGUAGCCACUAAUGAAGACCCAGCAACAUAAGGUUGGUGUAAAGGUGGUCUUGACCAUAAAGUGUUGUAUAAGGAAAAGAGUGUAUGGUUGUGUGAUGUGUGGUAUUAUAUCAGCAUUCGACUAAAGGUAGCCAAACUGACCCAAUCGCUAGGUCUCUCACCUAUCAUGCAACGGAAAUAGCCUUCUAAACAUCUAUUCAAGGCCUCUGUUUGACCAUCCGUUUGUGGGUGGUAUGGAGUAGAGAGAUGUAAUUUGGUUCCUAUAUGUUUAAAUAGCUCUUGCCAGAAGAUGCUAAUGAAAAUUGUGUUUCGGUCUGACACAAUGGACUCAGGGGCUCCAUGGAGUUUGUAAAUGUGACAAAUAAAUUCUUGGGCAAUAGUGACUGCAGUGAACGGGUGAGCUAAUGAUAAGAAGUGUCCAUACUUAGUGAGUUGGUCAACCACGACCAUUAUUGUGUUCUUUCCCUUAAAUGCACAUCAAUAAAGUCUAUACUAAUGGUAGACUAAGCCCAAUUGGGGAUAAGUGGAGGCUAAAGGAGAUCAGGGGAGGCUGCAAGGUCUACUUUGCAUCUUUGACAAGUUAAACACUCCUGCACCCAGUUCUUAAGAUCCUUCGAUAGACCCUUCCAGUAAAGUAAACUGGAGACGCGGUGUCGUAUGGCAUGUAUUCUAGAGUGGCCUCCAAUGGACUAUCAUGGAAAUUGUGGAAAAGAUCCCUCCUGAGCUCUGUAUUACUGCCAAUGACCACCUUUCCCUUUCUCCGCAAUACUAAUCUAUCCCAGCUAUAUUUAAGACCAUACCUUGUUGAUCUCACAUUGGAGCAUCUGUCCAUCUUGCACAUGGGACCUUCUGGAUAGAGCAUCGACUAUAGUGUUCAGGGAGCCUUUUCUGUAGAGAAUAGAGUAAUCGUAUCACAACAUUUUUGUAACCCACUUUUGUUGGUAUGGUGUGAUGGCCUAUCCAUCCGAGAGGAAUUUGAGAAUUUGGUGGUCUGUUUGAAUCAAGAA